rnacentral:lncRNA from 1 species
GGCAAGUUAAGUGAAGUGGUGUGACUUGUGCUUCAGAAAACCAACUGGUAAUCGUUUACAGGCCUUAGUAAACGAUUACGCGAGUGGAUUUGAGGAUUUGUAUAGAAAGUUGUGUUGAAGGAGCCAGUUCUAGUUAAAUAGGGGACCACACAUCAUAUUUGUUAUUUUUUUGAAUGUGUGCAAUGCAUCUUGGUGCAUAAUGUUGGGCGAAGAACGAAACAAAGAAUGUUUAGAAAUAAUGAUUGCCAAAAAGUAAUGUCGAACAUUGUGAUGCGAUCCACUCCGGUGAGAAAUCGUAGUUCCGGUGCAGAUCAAGCUAGGAAUCAAACACAAGAGGCAGCGGAAGAUCAAAAUCGAAGAUAACCCUAGGUUUUUGUUGAUUUGUUCGGGGUAGAUGCUAGGGUUGAGGGUUUGUGAGGUUUUAAUCGGUGAAAAGAGAGAUUUCACCAAUUGAAUCGAUGGAAUGGAAGGAAUCGAGGUUUUAAACGGUGUAAAAGGCUCAAAUAUGGUUUCAAUCGGUGAGUUGGAAGGAAAAGACCGAAAACAUUCGGUCAAAGGUGAAGAAAUGGUGAUGAAAAGUUGAAUUUAUGAAGGAGAUUCAGUUUUACCGGUGGAGGACGUUGAUCUGUGAUUAGGAAGAUGGUGCUCUCUGGAAGAAACCCUAGCUUCAAAGCAGAGAAAUGAGGUGAUGGACUCUGAAGCGUGAGAUGCAAUUGAAGAUGUGGCGUGGGAGGGCUAACGCAUUAGGAAGCACAACACGUGGCUUUUGCUGAGUGGUAUGAAGUUUCAGCGUAGGAGUGAAAAUCUGAUGAAUAUGGAAAAUGAAGGAAUGGUAAUGUGAUUGGAAGGUGGCUAAGGAAUCCCUUGGAUUCUUUAGCCUUGACUUUCAAGGAAUUAAGUCUGGAGUAUACUCAACAGAAAAUUAAUUCAUUAUCUCAAAAGUGAAUACAAGAAGUGUAGGCAUGGCUAUUUAUAGAACUAGAAGUCCCACAUGCCUAUCACAAUACAAGGUACAUAAAAGAAAUGCUAGACUAAAGAAACCUGGCUCU